rnacentral:rRNA from 1 species
CAGUAGCCACGGUAAUACGGAGGGUGCAAGCGUUAAUCGGAAUUACUGGGCGUAAAGCGCACGCAGGCGGUCUGACAAGUCAGAUGUGAAAUCCCCGGGCUUAACCUGGGAACUGCAUUUGAAACUGUCAGGCUGGAGUCUUGUAGAGGGGGGUAGAAUUCCAGGUGUAGCGGUGAAAUGCGUAGAGAUCUGGAGGAAUACCGGUGGCGAAGGUGGCCCCCUGGACAAAGACUGACGCUCAGGUGCGAAAGCGUGGGGAGCAAACAGGAUUAGAUACCCCGGUAGUCCCUGUCUCUUAUAU